AUGCAAGUCGAACGGCAGCACGGGUGCUUGCACCUGGUGGCGAGUGGCGAACGGGUGAGUAAUACAUCGGAACAUGUCCUGUAGUGGGGGAUAGCCCGGCGAAAGCCGGAUUAAUACCGCAUACGAUCUAUGGAUGAAAGCGGGGGACCUUCGGGCCUCGCGCUAUAGGGUUGGCCGAUGGCUGAUUAGCUAGUUGGUGGGGUAAAGGCCUACCAAGGCGACGAUCAGUAGCUGGUCUGAGAGGACGACCAGCCACACUGGGACUGAGACACGGCCCAGACUCCUACGGGAGGCAGCAGUGGGGAAUUUUGGACAAUGGGCGAAAGCCUGAUCCAGCAAUGCCGCGUGUGUGAAGAAGGCCUUCGGGUUGUAAAGCACUUUUGUCCGGAAAGAAAUCCUUGGUUCUAAUAUAGCCGGGGGAUGACGGUACCGGAAGAAUAAGCACCGGCUAACUACGUGCCAGCAGCCGCGGUAAUACGUAGGGUGCGAGCGUUAAUCGGAAUUACUGGGCGUAAAGCGUGCGCAGGCGGUUUGCUAAGACCGAUGUGAAAUCCCCGGGCUCAACCUGGGAACUGCAUUGGUGACUGGCAGGCUAGAGUAUGGCAGAGGGGGGUAGAAUUCCACGUGUAGCAGUGAAAUGCGUAGAGAUGUGGAGGAAUACCGAUGGCGAAGGCAGCCCCCUGGGCCAAUACUGACGCUCAUG
rnacentral:rRNA from 1 species